UAAGGAAUAUUGGACAAUGGAGGCAACUCUGAUCCAGCCAUGCCGCGUGAAGGAAUAAGGCCCUAUGGGUUGUAAACUUCUUUUAGACGGGACAAAACCCCUUUACGUGUAAAGGGUUGAUGGUACUGUCAGAAUAAGCAUCGGCUAACUUCGUGCCAGCAGCCGCGGUAAUACGAAGGAUGCAAGCGUUAUCCGGAAUUAUUGGGUUUAAAGGGUGCGUAGGCGGACUAAUAAGUCAGUGGUGAAAGCCUGCAGCUUAACUGCAGAAUUGCCAUUGAUACUGUUAGUCUUGAGUACAGUUGAGGUAGGCGGAAUGUGUCAUGUAGCGGUGAAAUGCUUAGAUAUGACACAGAACACCGAUUGCGAAGGCAGCAUGCUAAGCUGUAACUGACGCUGAGGCACGAAAGCGUGGGGAGCAAACA
rnacentral:rRNA from 1 species